AACCUCUUAAUAUUAAAGUUUAGACUAAGUAUGAACUUAAUCAUAAACCAAGAGUUGUUUAUACAAAGUAUCCUAUGAAAGGUAUGGGGACUUAAAGUUUUUAACAACCCCUUAGAAAGAAUAAGGGUUACAACCGCACUACCAAAAAUAAAAAAACAAAGGAAUUCAAAUAACAUAACAUUUUUCAUUAAGAAGUUGAAGGAAGUGAAGUAGAGACAUCAACAUCAGCAGGCUCAACUUGACUUGAAGGAGUGGGGAUACUCGUAUCAUCUUCAGCAUUUCCAAAAGCUUCAUCCACACGAGAAGAAAAAACUUGGUUCUGUUGAGUCUUCUCAAUAAUCUCUUUGAUCUUGGCUAACUCAGACUCCAAGUUGAAAUUCUCCUGGCUUACUUCAACGAGAGUAUCACGACAAGAAUUUGAAAACGCCCAACUUACUUCAAUGGCGGAUUUAUCUUCAAGAAUCUCGUAGUCUCUUUCCAGUCAGCAAUUUCAUUUCUUAAAUUCUCAUUUUCAGCCAAGGCAGAUUCAUUAGAAGCUUGAAGAGAAGCUUGGGAAUUUUCUAAGGAGCAAACUUCAUCAGAGGAUACCCGGAGGUCUUCUUGAGUUUUAGUCAAAGUCUGCACAAGUUCACCAGCAUAUGCUUCUUCUUUUUUAUCUAAGAGAGCCUUCAACUCUCUGAUCUCUUCACUUUCCUUGGAAAGUUGCUCAGAAAAUGUGGUUCAAGACGAUCUUUUUCUUUACUUGCUUGACUUGAGAA
rnacentral:lncRNA from 1 species